rnacentral:rRNA from 1 species
AACGUAGGAGCCAAGCGUUAUCCGAAUUCACUGGGCGUAAAGCGCGUGCAGGCGGCCUGGUAAGUUGGAUGUGAAAUCUCCUGGCUCAACUGGGAGAGGCCGUUCAAUACUGUCAGGCUAGAGGGCGACAGAGGGAGGUGGAAUUCCGGGUGUAGUGGUGAAAUGCGUAGAUAUCCGGAGGAACACCAGAGGCGAAGGCGACCUCCUGGGUCGCACCUGACGCUCAGACGCGAAAGCUAGGGGAGCGAACGGG